AAAAUUAAAAUAUGUUAUCUAUAAAGCAAUGUGACUCACACAGAUUUUCCAAGAUAAGUUGGGAAGCUAAAAGUUAAUGAAACAAAACCUUCAAAGUUCUAAAAAAUUAUUUUUCGCCUUAAAAUCUAAAAUCCAACACUCUAUCAAACCAUUUAUAAGUAUGAGGAAAGAAAAUAAAUGUUUUCUGACCUGCAACAAUCAGAAAAUUUACUUCCCACGUACUCUGUUAUAGGUAGCUACCUUUGGAUGCGUUCUAGCAAAAUCUACGAGUAAACCAAGAAAUAAGGAGGAUAUGGGAACCAGGAAAAUGUGAGUUUAACCCAGAACAUCAGUUCAAGCAAAAUUGCAAGGUUGCCAGCGGAAGAGAAAAUGAGAGGGGGCUCAAACAAGAAAAGCAUGAUGAUAAAACUGACAACGCAAGGAUGCUAACUGGCUGACGACCAUGCCAGCAGAGAAAAGAUAGAAGCUAAUUAAAGAAACUAUUAUGAUCACCAUUCUGCAUGGAUUCCAGGACAGAAGGAAAGCUUGGGAAAAAAAUGGAAUGGAAAAGAAAAAAAACCUGGUAAGGACGAGGGACACUUCAUAUGGUAUACAGGUGGGCAAUAAAAUUAAGUUUGAAAAAUUUUUCAAAUUUGAAGCUUUCUUUUAAAUCAUAGCAAGUUUAAAGGUGUGUUUGACUUCAAAUAAAAAGUGAUUUGU
rnacentral:lncRNA from 1 species